rnacentral:rRNA from 1 species
CCUACGGGAGGCAGCAGUGAGGAAUCUUGGUCAAUGGGCGCGAGCCUGAACCAGCCCAGUAGCGUGAAGGAUGACUGCCCUACGGGUUGUAAACUUCUUUUAUCAAGGAAUAAAGUGAGGCACGUGUGCCUUUUUGCAUGUACUUUAUGCAUAAGGAUCGGCUAACUCCGUGCCCGCAGCCGCGGUAAUACGGAGGAUUCGAGCGUUAUCCGUAUUUAUUGGGUUUAAAGGGAGCGUAGAUGGGUUGUUAAGUCAGUUGUGAAAGUUUGCGGCUCAACCGUAAAAUUGCAAUUGAUACUGGCAGCCUUGAGUGCAGUUGAGGUAGGCGGAAUUCGUGGUGUAGCGGUGAAAUGCUUAGAUAUCACGAAGAACUCCGAUUGCGAAGGCAGCUUACUAAACUGCCACUGACAUUGAUGCUCGAAAGUGUGGGUAUCAAACAGGAUUAGAUACCCUUGUAGUC